AUGCUUCUGUCUCUGGUGCCAACUCCUCUUAACAACUCUGCUGCCGAAGGAAAACAGACUUCUAAGCUGCUGGAAGAUUUAGCAAACUUGUACCUGGAUUACAGCCUUCAUCUCUCUCCCCAGGCCUCUUGGAAAAGAUGCAACCUUCAAAAGACUAGCAGUUUAUUAAACAGAAUCCAAAAGCCACGUGAAUGCUUGUGCCAGCAAGAGGAAGGAUCAGAGCACACUUCUGUGGGUGGAUGAAAAGGUGAAUGAGGGUGACCACUCCAUUCAGUAACUGCAUGGGCACAGAGAAGCAUGAACCAUCCUUAUGUUCUUCCCUAGGCAUCUGCUAGCAGCUGGUGCCAAAGAUAGGAUCUGAUGCUAAUUGGGACUUUCUUCUGUCCCAAACACUGCUGGGCUUAUGGCUCCACUGAAGAUGAUGUGACUGUUACCAUAGACAUAACCAAGGCCAGGAAGAAGAGCAGUAUCAUGAAUGCACAAAUAACUGUUUCUGUUCUCACCAACUGAUGGAGGAAUUUUUCCUCUAGAUGUUCCACCCAAUUACCUGGGAGGUUUAAGGAGUGCAGAGCUAAGCCAUUGUUGCUCAGCUGGCUUUGCCUCUUUAAGACUGUUCCUUGACAGCCUGAAUUUUCUGUUGCUCCCUGUUUGAUCCAGCUUGGACUCCAAGAAAGCUGGGAACUCAUCUUUCCCUGUUUGAACUGUAUGUGAUCAAUUACAGACCUCGAGAAUGGGCUGCUUGCCUAUCUCUCAUGUUUAAAUUGCCUUCCAGGAUUUUGCAAGGCUAAGGAGCCUCCUCAGAUGUUGAGUCUGACUGUGCUUCGGUCAAGCAUGCCUUGGUUUUGCUGAGAGUGGCAUCUGAUUCAUAGUGAACUUUGAGAACAAAUUGAGAGUGGCAUCUGAUUCAUAGUGAACUUUGAGAACAAAUUAAACAGAGUGCUUUGUACAUGGAUUUGCUGGCCCUGACCCUUCUGCUGCUGCUUGAGGAGAAGACUAUUGAUUUUAGCAACAGAAGAAGUGGGACUAAACAGUGUAACUGGAUGGGGAGGGAUGCU
rnacentral:lncRNA from 1 species